UGUUUCGUUUUCCAUGGUCUAGUGAAAAACAUCUUCUUCAGAAUGUUCCUAUACCAGACUGUUUUGAUUGGGCUAAUCAAAUACGAGAAUCUGUAUUAAAAUCUGAAGUUAAAAACAGUAAAUAAGCAAGUUUACAUUGUUUCUAGUAAUAUCAUUUCUGAACGGCUAAAGAACUUAAGCAGUAACACAACAAAUAACACAGGACUAACUGAAUAUUUUCAAGCCUCAAAAGUUUUGUUUGAGAGCAACUCUAGUCAAAAUGUGCCAACAGAAGCUACUACAAUUAAUGCAUGUGUUCAAGAUUUCAAUACAAAUGAACAACAUGCAUAUACUGUUAUACUUCAAGAAACUGAUCUGCACAAAUGUGUCCUCGUUGUCGUUUGUACUAUUCUACAGUGCCUACAGCUCUUUGCCAGAGAUGUGAAUAUAUUGUAAAUAAUUUAAGCCCACAGAAAACAAAAGAAAUAAAAUUAUGAUGAGUUAUAUUUAUGUAUUUUAAUGUCUUUAACAUUGAUGCAUUUUUUUCAUGACAAUUUUUUCAUAAUUUGCUUUGUAAAUAACUUGCAUGUCUAAUCAUAAACUAGAUUCCAUCAGAAUUUGUAUCUUUUGUAACCAGUAUGCUGUUAAAAUAAAAG